rnacentral:rRNA from 1 species
AACGAACGCUGGCGGCGUGCUUAACACAUGCAAGUCGAACGGAAAGGCCCUGCUUUUGUGGGGUGCUCGAGUGGCGAACGGGUGAGUAACACGUGAGUAACCUGCCCUUGACUUUGGGAUAACUUCAGGAAACUGGGGCUAAUACCGGAUAGGAGCUCCUGCUGCAUGGUGGGGGUUGGAAAGUUUCGGCGGUUGGGGAUGGACUCGCGGCUUAUCAGCUUGUUGGUGGGGUAGUGGCUUACCAAGGCUUUGACGGGUAGCCGGCCUGAGAGGGUGACCGGCCACAUUGGGACUGAGAUACGGCCCAGACUCCUACGGGAGGCAGCAGUGGGGAAUAUUGCACAAUGGGCGGAAGCCUGAUGCAGCAACGCCGCGUGCGGGAUGACGGCCUUCGGGUUGUAAACCGCUUUCGCCUGUGACGAAGCGUGAGUGACGGUAAUGGGUAAAGAAGCACCGGCUAACUACGUGCCAGCAGCCGCCGUAAAAC